rnacentral:rRNA from 1 species
ACUCCUACGGGAGGCAGCAGUGGGGAAUAUUGGACAAUGGGCGAAAGCCUGAUCCAGCCAUGCCGCGUGUGUGAAGAAGGUCUUCGGAUUGUAAAGCACUUUAAGUUGGGAGGAAGGGCAGUAAAUUAAUACUUUGCUGUUUUGACGUUACCGACAGAAUAAGCACCGGCUAACUCUGUGCCAGCAGCCGCGGUAAUACAGAGGGUGCAAGCGUUAAUCGGAAUUACUGGGCGUAAAGCGCGCGUAGGUGGUUUGUUAAGUUGGAUGUGAAAUCCCCGGGGCUCAACCUGGGAACUGCAUUCAAAACUGACUGACUAGAGUAUGGUAGAGGGUGGUGGAAUUUCCUGUGUAGCGGUGAAAUGCGUAGAUAUAGGAAGGAACACCAGUGGCGAAGGCGACCACCUGGACUAAUACUGACACUGAGGUGCGAAAGCGUGGGGAGCAAACAGGAUUAGAUA